GCGUCGACCUCCACCCCCUCCCCCUUUCCCUUUUGCCUUUCCGGUCACCUGAAGCCAGUGCCAUUCCCAUCGCCUCCCGCUGCCGUUCCCGUGUCGCUCUCUUUCCCCCUCACCUUUGUUGUCUUAGGCUAGCGUAGCUAGCGCGGCUGUCGCAGGAAGCUGCGAUCGUAGCACCCUCAGCCCCUCCUCCCGCAUUUUCAGACAGAUCAACGGCAAGGAGCUCCAUUCACACCACCUGGACCUCGCCUCUAGUCCCUACCGUUACAACCAUCCGACCCAUUUCAUGCUCUUGGCCUACUUCUCGCACGACAGAAAGAGAGAGGGAGACAGAGAGGUUGCGAUGAUCAAAUCCGGCCACCUCGAAUGAUUCCGGUGACUGACACCAACAAGGAUUUGGCGUUGAUUGAUGAAUUUUAGAACCACCACCCCUCCAGCCACCGUAGACGGCGGCGCCAGCGGUGGUUCCGGUGACCGGAGCUCCCUAGAGGCAGAACAUUGUAUUUUUCGUGUAGAGUAUGAAUAUAUAAUUAGUUUUACUAUCUGAUAUCAA